AGGAAAUCCGAUGUCUUAAAAGAAUAGUUAAAAUGCAUAUUCUGGACUAUAGCCUGAAAGGUAGUAUUAGAUAUACACUUGUUUUCUUUAUAUCUCUGUAAAUAACAUGUUCUUCACUUUGUAAAGCUCAGUGACUCUUUGGUGGUAGUAACACAUGGUAAAUGUGUAUGGUUAUGUAAAUGUGUUGCAGGAUUCCAUUCAGAGCUGUUCCCUCUGUAAACUGUAAACUACGUAUCACAUGUAAGUCAAUUUGCAUUCGUUUUUGCAUUGCUUUCAAACCUUGUAAAAACUGUUUUGGGUUAUGUGCAAAUUUCCCAAAUACAACCUAUGUAUAGCUUGAACAGUGACAAGUUGUGUUUUAUGGACUGGGACCCAUCAUGAAGAACUGCUGGGUCUUUUCACUUCUCCUGGGUUCACUCUUCAUUCUUGGUCAUUGUGUUUUUCCUCCUGGUUCUUGUGAUGGAUACACAAACAUAACUGAACCAUGGCGUAACCAUUUAUUUAAAUCAUCUUCAUUUGUUGGCUACCCAAAGAAUGAUGCACAUCUUGUUAAUAAGUGGUGGCGCUUCACAGGGAUUGGUGGAGACAGAGUCAUUACAAGUUGCAAAGGAGGCCCUAUUGGUGGUACCCAAUACGCCAUCCGUGUUCCAUUUUCAUAUCCAACAACUGAAUCUGAAACUCCAACAACAGGAACUGCAUAUGGAGAUGUUGGAUCUUGUGCUGUGUAUGGCAUUACAAUGACAGUGUCGCUGUGUCCUGGAGGAUUCUACAUAUACAAACCAUCAAGUCACCCACGUAGCAGUAUGGGUUAUGUAACAUGUAAGGAAAGAUUGCUCAUUGUCGUCCUUUCCUUUAUACUUUAGUGUGGUCAUGUCCCAUUCAAUACUGUACUGAUGUACUGAUGUACUUUCUG
rnacentral:lncRNA from 1 species